rnacentral:tRNA from 1 species
GUUUAAAUAUUUUAAGUUUAGAAUUAUAAUUUGUGAUAUUAUAGGUGUAUUGAUUAUACUUUAGACC